CAUUUUUGAGAAAAAUAUAAAUACUAUAUGUAUUAUACAGGCCUUAACAAGCCCUCAAAAAUCA
rnacentral:tRNA from 1 species